rnacentral:rRNA from 1 species
CGAACGCUGGCGGCGUGCUUAACACAUGCAAGUCGAACGGUAAGGCCCUUCGGGGUACACGAGUGGCGAACGGGUGAGUAACACGUGGGUGACCUGCCCUGUACUUCGGGAUAAGCCUGGGAAACUGGGUCUAAUACCGGAUAUGACCUUCUCCUGCAUGGGGGUUGGUGGAAAGCUUUUGCGGUACAGGAUGGGCCCGCGGCCUAUCAGCUUGUUGGUGGGGUAAUGGCCUACCAAGGCGACGACGGGUAGCCGGCCUGAGAGGGCGACCGGCCACACUGGGACUGAGACACGGCCCAGACUCCUACGGGAGGCAGCAGUGGGGAAUAUUGCACAAUGGGCGGAAGCCUGAUGCAGCGACGCCGCGUGAGGGAUGACGGCCUUCGGGUUGUAAACCUCUUUCAGUAGGGACGAAGCGCAAGUGACGGUACCUACAGAAGAAGCACCGGCCAACUACGUGCCAGCAGCCGCGGUAAUACGUAGGGUGCGAGCGUUGUCCGGAUUUACUGGGCGUAAAGAGCUCGUAGGCGGUUUGUCACGUCGUCUGUGAAAACCCGAGGCUUAACCUCGGGCCUGCAGGCGAUACGGGCAGACUUGAGUACUGUAGGGGAGACUGGAAUUCCUGGUGUAGCGGUGGAAUGCGCAGAUAUCAGGAGGAACACCGGUGGCGAAGGCGGGUCUCUGGGCAGUAACUGAC